rnacentral:lncRNA from 1 species
UUUUUUUUUUUUUUUUUUAAUUUUUUAACACACCUUUUAAAAAGUUUGAAGUAUAAUUGACAAGGUUGUGAUCAUGUGUGCUGUGCAACGAAGUGACUCCGUCACACACACACACACACACACACACACACACAUCCAUUCUCUUUCAGAUUUUUUGCCCACAUUGAUUAUUGCAGAAUAUUGGGUAGAGUUCUCUGUGCUGCCCAGCAGGUCCCCAUUGGCCAGAGUUCUCUGUGCUGCCCAGCAGGUCCCCAUUGGCCAGUCCUUCCGAGAACCUCAAUGUGCAUCCAGUCCCCAGGUUGCAGCCCAUCCCUCCCCUGCCACCUGUUCCCUUUGGUAGCCAUAGUUUUUCAAAGUCAUGCAUCUGGGAAAACACACCUUUCUAGCAACGGCUUCCUCAAAAGCAGAGGGAAGCAGUCCAGAGCUCCUGUCCCUGGUGCGUGCCUUUUGUGCCCUCUGCCUUUCGUUGCUUUUGGGGAAUAGAUCCAUCAGCUCUACUUUUUUUUUUUCCAAUUUGAAUGAAUAUUUCUCCAAUGAAGCUUCUCCUUCAACCCUCAACCAUGUUUCAGAAUCUCCAUUUUAUUUUAUUUUUUUAAUAUUUUUUUUUAUUUUCCCACUGUACAGCAAGGGGGUCAGGUUAUCCUUACAUGUAUACAUUAUAAUUACAUUUUUUCCCCCACCCUUUCUUCUGUUGCAACAUGAGUAUAUAGACAUAGUUCUCAAUGCUAUUCAGCAGGAUCUCCUUGUAAAUCUAUUCUAAGUUGUGUCUGAUAAUUCCAAGCUCUCGAUCCCUCCCACUCCCUCCCCCUCCCAUCAGGCAGCCACAAGUCUCUUCUCCAAGUCCAUAAUUUUCUUUUCUGAGGAGAUGUUCAUUUGUGCUGGAUAUUAGAUUCCAGUUAUAAGUGAUAUCAUAUGGUAUUUGUCUUUGUCUUUCGGGCUCAUUUCACUCAGUGUGAGAUUCUCUAGUUCCAUCCAUGUUGCUGCAAAUGGCAUUAUGUCAUUCUUUUUUAUGGCUGAGUAGUAUUCCAUUGUGUAUAUAUACCACAUCUUCCGAAUCCAAUCCUCUGUCGAUGGACAUUUGGGUUGUUUCCAUGUCCUGGCUCUUGUGAAUAGUGCUGCAAUGAACAUGCGGGUGCAUGUGUCUCUUUUAAGUAGAGUUUUGUCCGGAUAGAUGCCCAAGAGUGGGAUUGCGGGGUCAUAUGGAAGUUCUAUGGAUAGAUUUCUAAGGUAUCUCCAAACUGUUCUCCAUAGUGGCUGUACCAGUUUACAUUCCCACCAGCAGUGCAGUAGGGUUCCCUUUUCUCCACAGCCCCUCCAGCACUUGUUAUUUGUGGAUUUAUUAAUGAUGGCCAUUCUGACUGGUGUGAGGUGGUAUCUCAUGGUAGUUUUGAUUUGCAUUUCUCUUAUAAUCAGCGAGUGUGAGCAUUUUUUCAUGUGUUUGUUGGCCAUCUGUAUAUCUUCUUUGGAGAAAUGUCUAUUCAGGUCUUUUGCCCAUUUUUCCGUUGAUUGGUUUUUUUGCUGUUGAGUUGUAUAAGUUGCUUAUAUAUUCUAGAGAUUAAGCCCUUGUCAGUUGCAUCAUUUGAAACUGUUUUCUCCCAUUCUGUAAGUUGUCUUUUUGUUUUCUUUUUGGUUUCCUUUGCUGUGCAAAAGCUUUUCAGUUUGAUGAGGUCCCAUGGGUUUAUUUUUGCUCUAAUUUCUAUUGCUUUGGGAGACCGACCUGAGAAAAUAUUCAUAAUGUUGCAGAAUCUCCAUUUUGGAACAGACGAGCUGCUCUCACAAUUAGAAUUUUUAACCUAAAGGAGGGCAUUGACUCACUCCAACAGCAGAAGGUGGGGUUCACCACCGCCAGCACAUGUGCCUUUUCCACCUUUACAGCUGUGGUAGGUACCAUCCUGUCCUCAUCUUCCAGGUAAGAAACGAAGGCACAGUGAUGCGGAUGAACCGGUUCAUCACAUAGAAGUAGCACAAAGUAGAUUCAGACCCCGACUCCAGAGCCCACCCUCUUAACCCCUGCGCCAUACUCUAUGCACACAGCUCUGCGAGGUGUGUUUACUGUCAUUACAAGGCAGAGUUUUAAAUAUGCCUUUAAGAACCCAACAAAUACUAAGUACGACACGGACUUCGUACUGUACAUCGGGUAAUAUGCUGAUGAACAAAGUACCAUCCCUGCCCACAGAAUGGCCAGUGGUCAGAAGAUGUAAACAGCUAGGAACAUCAGAGAACCGUGCAAGCAGUACAAACCAAGGACUUCUGGAGUAAAGAGGUUCAGAGACUGUUUUAACUUGGAGUGGGAGAAAAAUCAGCCGUGCACACCCCUGGGGCUACAGCACUUCAGUGCCUCCUAUGAGACUGUGCCAUAUGGUGGGGACCAUGCUGGGCACAAGGGAUGGUUCUUACAGUGCGGUGGGCAUUGGGAGAUGUCAUCAGAUGAAUGCAUGCUUUUAGGUGGGAGAUGCUGAACUUGAAAGGGACAUGGUACCAUGGGAGUAUCUGAAAGACACUGGACUAACUUUGGAUGAGGCAGAGGUCGAGGAGAGUUCCAGAGAAAUGGCGACUGACAUGAGAGCUGACGGGUGAGGAGGCAUCAGCCAGCUAAGAGGAGCGUGCGUCCAGUGUAGGCAUGUGUGAACAUCACAGGGCUGGGGCAUGAGGACGUUAGAGGCAAAGUAGCAGCAUGUGCAAAUUUCCUGGGGUUAAAGAAGACACAGGGAGCCCUGGACGCAGCGGGUGAGCCUGUAUGGCAGAGAGGAAAGGGGAGCCAUGGAUUUUCCUCUUUGUAGGAAGAGCAGUGAACAUUCUUAAGGGGUUCGAAGAAGAUGGUCGACAUCCUCUGACUCGAGUUUUAAAGAUCCCUCUGGCUGCCGUGUAGAGUGGAUUGAAAGGAGCCAGGUGAGACUUGGAGUCACUGUGGUAGUUCAGAUGAAAGAUCACAUAGCACAGAUAACCUGUAAGCAUAUUUGUUUUGCUUUUGUUGUCUUGCACGGAAAGGUUUUGCUCUUUUACAAGCAAAAAAAACCAACCAACCAACAAACAAAAAUUCCAUUCGAGGAGUUCCCGUCAUGGCGCAGUGGUUAACGAAUCCGACUAGGAACCAUGAGGUUGCAGGUUCGAUCCCUGCCCUUGCUCAGUGGGUUAACCAUCUGGCGUUGCCAUGAACUGUGGUGUAGGUUGCAGAUGCGGCUCGGAUCCCGAGUUGCUGUGGCUCUGGCGUAGGCCAGUGGCUACAGCUCCGAUUAGACCCCUAGCCUGGGAACCUCCAUAUGCCGCGAGAGUGGCCCAAAGAAAUAGCAAAAAAAAAAAAAA